UGGGGGACAACGUUUCCAAAGGAACGCUAAUACCGCAUACGUCCUACGGGAGAAAGCAGGGGACCUUCGGGCCUUGCGCUAUCACAUGAGCCUAGGUCGGAUUAUCUAGUUGGUGAGGUAAUGGCUCACCAAGGCAACGAUCCGUAACUGGUCUGAGAGGAUGAUCAGUCACACUGGAACUGAGACACGGUCCAGACUCCUACGGGAGGCAGCAGUGGGGAAUAUUGAACAAUGGGCGAAAGCCUGAUCCAGCCAUGCCGCGUGUGUGAAGAAGGACUUCGGAUUGUAAAGCACUUUAAGUUGGGAGGAAGCGAAAGCGCGGGGAGCAAACAGGAUUAGAUACCCUGGUAGUCCACGCCGUAAACGAUGUCAACUAGCCGUUGGGAGCCUUGAGCUCUUAGUGGCGCAGCUAACGCAUUAAGCAGACCGCCUGGGGAGUACGGCCGCAAGGUUAAAACUCAAAUGAAUUGACGGGGGCCCGCACAAGCGGCGGAGCAUGUGGUUUAAUUCGAAGCAACGCGAAGAACCUUACCAGGCCUUGACAUGCAAAGAACUUUCCAGAGACGGAUUGGUGCCUUCGGGAACCUAGACACAGGUGCUGCAUGGCUGUCGUCAGCUCGUGUCGUGAGACGUUGGGUUAAGUCCCGAAACGAGCGCAACCCUUCUCCCUAGUUACCAGCACGUUAAGGUGGGCACUCUAAGGAGACUGCCGGUGACAAACCGGAGGAAGGUGGGGAUGACGUCAAGUCAUCAUGGCCCCUACGGCCUGGGCUACACACGUGCUACAAUGGUCGGUACAAAGGGUUGCCAAGCCGCGAGGCGGAGCUAAUCCCACAAAACCGAUCGCAGUCCGGAUCGCAGUCUGCAACUCGACUGCGUGAAGUCGGAAUCGCUAGUAAUCGCGAAUCAGAAUGUCGCGGUGAAUACGUUCC
rnacentral:rRNA from 1 species